rnacentral:rRNA from 1 species
GUCAAGUACAAAGAGCAUCGGGUGGAUGCCUUGGCACUGGGAGCCGAAGAAGGACGUGAUAAGCUGCGAUAAGCUGCGGUAAGGAGCACAUAUCCGAUAUACCCGCAGAUUUCCGAAUGGGGGAACCCACAUACGGUAAUGCGUAUGUAUCAUUAAGUGAAUACAUAGCUUAAUGAAGGGAACGGGGUGAACUGAAACAUCUAAGUAGCCCUAGGAAGAGAAAGAAAAAUCGAUUUCCUGAGUAGCGGCGAGCGAAAGGGAAAGAGGCCAAACCAAAUUGUUUACAGUUUGGGGUUGUGGACCACCGACAUUGACGAAGUUAUGCGAGCCGAAUAGGGUUGGAAAGCUCAAGCAGAGAAGGUAAUACUCCUGUAGGCGAAGCAGAAAGCGCAUAGGUGGCACCAGAGUAGGACCGGACACGUGUAACCCGGUCUGAAGCAGGAGGGACCACCCUCCAAGCCUAAAUACUACCCAGUGACCGAUAGCGAAUAGUACCGUGAGGGAAAGGUGAAAAGAACCCCGGGAGGGGAGUGAAAUAGAAUCUGAAACCUGAUGCUUACAAGCAUAGGGAGCGCAAGUGACCUAGUACUUUUUGUAGAACGGGCCAACGAGUUAUGGUAUGUAGCGAGGUUAAGUUGCUGGAGCAACGGAGCCGUAGAGAAAUCGAGUCUGAAUAGGGCGAGAGUUACAUGCUGUAGACCCGAAACCGGGUGACCUAUCCAUGAGCAGGUUGAAGUAACCGUAAAAGGUUAUGGAGGACCGAACCUAUAUCUGUUGAAAAAGGUUAGGAUGACUUGUGGAUAGCGGUGAAAUUCCAAUCGAACUCGGAUAUAGCUGGUUCUCCUCGAAAUAGCUUUAGGGCUAGCCUCAAGGUAAAGAUACACGGGGGUAGAGCACUGACUGUUCGCGGGGCCUUCACCGGUUACCAACAACUAUCAAACUCCGAAUACCGUGCUAUCAUACUUGGGAGUCAGACUAUGAGAGAUAAGUUCCAUGGUCGAAAGGGAAACAGCCCAGAUCAACAGCUAAGGUCCCAAAGAGUAAGUUAAGUGGAAAAGGAUGUGGGAUUGCACAAACAGCUAGGAUGUUGGCUUAGAAGCAGCCAUACAUUUAAAGAGUGCGUAAUAGCUCACUAGUCGAGUGAUCCUGCGCCGAAGAUAAACGGGGCUCAAACUUACCACCGAAGCUUUGGAAUUAGUAUAACUAAUUGGUAGAGGAGCAUUCUAUACAGGUAGAAGGAGGCGCGUAAGCAAAUCUGGACGGUAUAGAAGAGAGAAUGUUGGCAUGAGUAGCGUAAGGCGGGUGAGAAUCCCGUCCGCCGAAAAUCUAAGGUUUCCUGAGGAAGGUUCGUCCUCUCAGGGUAAGUCGGGACCUAAGCCGAGAGCGAACGCUGUAGGCGAUGGACAACAGGUUGAUAUUCCUGUACCACCAAGGAUUGUUUGAAUGAAGUGGGGACACAGAAGGAUAGAUUGAGCACGCCGUUGGUUGAGCGUGUCCAAGCAGCAAGGCUUGAAAGUAGGCAAAUCCGCUUUCUACAAGGCUGAGCUGUGAUGGGGUGGUCGAAUGACCGGUAGCAAUCGAUUUCACGCUGUCAAGAAAAGCCGCUAAUGAGAUCCAAGGUGCCCGUACCGCAAACCGACACAGGUAGAUGAGGAGAGAAUCCUAAGGUGAGCGAGAGAACUAUUGUUAAGGAACUCGGCAAAAUAACCCCGUAACUUCGGGAGAAGGGGUGCCUGCUUCGGCAGGCCGCAGUGAAGAGGUCCAGGCAACUGUUUACCAAAAACACAGGUCUCUGCUAAAGCGAAAGCUGAUGUAUAGGGGCUGACGCCUGCCCGGUGCUGGAAGGUUAAGGGGAAGUGUUAGGGCAACCGAAGCACAGAACUUAAGCCCCAGUAAACGGCGGCCGUAACUAUAACGGUCCUAAGGUAGCGAAAUUCCUUGUCGGGU